rnacentral:rRNA from 1 species
GAUGAACGCUGACAGAAUGCUUAACACAUGCAAGUCUUUGGCGAAGCUGUGCUUGCACAGCCUAGCCAAGGCGGACGGGUGAGUAACGCGUAAGGAACUUGCCCUGCAGUCAGGGAUAACAGACGGAAACGACUGAUAAGACCUGGUAAAGUCAGGCGGACUCAUGUCCAGCCUGAUGAAAAGAGAUGCUGCAGGAGAGCCUUGCGUCCUAUUAGCUUGUUGGUGGGGUAACGGCCCACCAAGGCGAUGAUAGGUAGCCGGCCUGAGAGGGUGGACGGCCACAAGGGGACUGAGAUACGGCCCUUACUCCUACGGGAGGCAGCAGUGGGGAAUAUUGGACAAUGGGGGCAACCCUGAUCCAGCAAUUCUGUGUGCACGAUGAAGGUUUUCGGAUUGUAAAGUGCCUUCAGCAGGGAAGAAAAAAAUGACGGUACCUGCAGAAGAAGCGACGGCUAAAUACGUG